UUGGCCGAAGGCGAAUGGUGAGCCACCGGGAUGUGACCCCGGCGAAGAGGGUUCGAUUCCCUCCGGUCAACC
rnacentral:tRNA from 1 species